AUACGUAGGUGGCAAGCGUUGUCCGGAAUUAUUGGGCGUAAAGCGCGCGCAGGCGGUCCUUUAAGUCUGAUGUGAAAGCCCACGGCUCAACCGUGGAGGGUCAUUGGAAACUGGGGGACUUGAGUGCAGGAGAGGAGAGCGGAAUUCCACGUGUAGCGGUGAAAUGCGUAGAGAUGUGGAGGAACACCAGUGGCGAAGGCGGCUCUCUGGCCUGUAACUGACGCUGAGGCGCGAAAGCGUGGGGAGCAAACAGGAUUAGAUACCCUGUAGUCCACGCCGUAGACGAUGAGUGCUAAGUGUUAGAGGGGUCACACCCUUUAGUGCUGCAGCUAACGCGAUAAGCACUCCGCCUGGGGAGUACGGCCGCAAGGCUGAA
rnacentral:rRNA from 1 species